GAUGAACGCUGGCGGCGUGCCUAAUACAUGCAAGUCGAGCGAACGGACGAGAAGCUUGCUUCUCUGAUGUUAGCGGCGGACGGGUGAGUAACACGUGGAUAACCUACCUAUAAGACUGGGAUAACUUCGGGAAACCGGAGCUAAUACCGGAUGAUAUUUUGAACCGCAUGGUUCAAAAGUGAAAGACGGUCUUGCUGUCACUUAUAGAUGGAUCCGCGCUGCAUUAGCUAGUUGGUAAGGUAACGGCUUACCAAGGCAACGAUGCAUAGCCGACCUGAGAGGGUGAAGGCCCAGACGAGAACUGAGACACGGUCCAGACUCCUACGGGAGGCAGAAGUAGGGAAUCUUCCGCAAAGGGCGAAAGCCUGACGGAGCAACGCCGCGUGAGUGAUGAAGGUCUUCGGAUCGUAGAGCUCUGUUAUUAGGGAAGAACAUAUGUGUAAGUAACUGUGAACAUCUUGACGGUACCUAAUCAAAAAGCCACGGCUAACUACGUG
rnacentral:rRNA from 1 species